rnacentral:rRNA from 1 species
UACGUAGGUGGCAAGCGUUGUCCGGAAUUAUUGGGCGUAAAGAGCGUGUAGGCGGCUAGAUAGGUCCGUUGUGAAAACUGGAGGCUCAACCUCCAGCUGUCGAUGGAAACCAUCUAGCUAGAGUCCGGAAGAGGAGAGUGGAAUUCCUGGUGUAGCGGUGAAAUGCGCAGAUAUCAGGAAGAACACCCGUGGCGAAGGCGGCUCUCUGGGACGUGACUGACGCUGAGACGCGAAAGCGUGGGGAGCGAACAGG